GUGCUGACGCCGGCGGCGGUGGCGGCGACGGCGGCUCCGGCGCUGGGAGUACGGCGUGGCUCCCGUGGCCGCGCUACUCGGGGUCCUCUGGGCGGCCACGUGUCCUGCCUGGUGGGGAGAGAGCUGGAAAGAUGACAAGAGCGAAUGUUCAGAAAGGAAGGAAAAGCCAAGAGAACUUUCAAGCAGAGCUUUUGCACGUCUCGUAGUGUAUUUGAUGCAUAGGAGUCAAUAACUCAAAUCUAGAUGCUUUCAUAUACAUAUAUGGAAAGGCCACAAUCAUCCCUGAAGUGAAAGCCCCUGGCAUUGUUCCGGAUCUUGAGAAAUUCCCAACAUCAUGGUAGAUAUUCAAGGAGGGCAGUCCAUUCGGACUGAGUUCAGUCUGUGGAGUCAGUUGCUGAUGCAGUUUUUUUUUUUUUUCCUGGUUGCUAAAUUUAACCGACAGAGUUCUCGGCGCCAAGCGUUGUGGGAAACAUUGGCAUAUUGAAUUCAGUGUUCAGAUGUUUCAUUCAACAAGCUCAAGACAAAACAGCAUCUUUGGUUUUUCCAAGCGCAGAUUAUCAUUAUCGGAGUUCGAUUCUUUGAGCCGUUUUGCUGUAUCUCAUUUAAGGAGGUGGGGGGUAGAGGGGCUUUGCCAGAAUUCAUUGGACUAUGGAAGAUGGAAGAAUGGUAGGAAGUGGAAGCGUGCCAAGACUGCUGGGGGAAAGUCAUGAAUGAUGCCACCCAAGUAAUUAGCCUGAGGUCCCGAUGACCUUUAGCACAUCGUUCAUAUGGUCGCAGUGCAUCUGACUGUGAGAAGGGCUUGAAUAUAUGUGCUUCAUAGACUACGGUGAACAUUAAUUGAAACUGUAGGCAUGAAAGGUGCCAAUCAAUAUUACUUUUGUCCCUCAAUCAGUGAGACUCUACAUAGUUAAUUACUUCUUCAUUAUACAAUGCUGGGCCAUGGUGAAUUGUCUUGGUUCAAAGAUUGGGAUGCACUGUCUCCCAGUUAUUGUCCUCCAGUAAGCAUCACUGCAUUUGGGUUACUCAGGCAUUUAUGGCAGUAAGUUCUGACUUCUUUCCAACUCUGAAAGCACAGAAACUGUACUAAAGUUAGAAUUGAACUGGAGUCCCCCCACUGUCCUAGCCUGCACCCACAGAAUCAGAGGCCUGUUGAAUCAAAGGCUAUUGCUCUUUGCUUGUGGAACUGGAAUGAGAAAACAGGCAUCUUGAUUGCUGUCCGAGCUCAGGCAUUGGACAGCAGUGAUGACAGAAGCCUGUGUUGAGUGCUUCUGUGAGCCCCCUUCCCUCCUGUGUCAGUACACACCGGGCAAACAAGCCUUCACCAAGGGCUUUCUCAGAGUCCAAAUCUGCCCAGAGACUUGUUACUUGUUACAUCAGACCCACAACAACCAAAUUUGCUGAAGAAGUGAGGAAACUGGAAAUGAAGUGAAAUCAGUCAUUUCCAGCCCACCCUGAGACAAAUCCAGCACUGGAAGGCUCACACACCCCUCAUAGUGCAGAUAAGGAACUGGGGCAGGGAGAGUCUCGAUGAUCUAACUAGUCUUCCUUCCACAGCGAAGGGAGAGAUUUCCUGAGAGCACUGAAGACAUUCUGAUGACCCUUUCUCCCCUCAUAGCCUAGUUCUGUCAUAUGAAUCAGCAUAAGCAACAUGUCACCACCGUGUCCCAUUGGCUCGGGAUCUUGGCUCCUCAGGAGAGGGCUGUGCAGCUGAGCACAGUCCUUUCCUGGCUGAGCCCCUGCUUGGGUAUGCCUGAGCUGUCCAGCAUGGCCAGUGUGUAAAUGUCAAGUAAACAUCAAAUUCAAGUGCAAUCUAACCAUUGUCCUAGAACUGUUUGCUUUAGAUAUAAUAGUUAGCAGGAAGAGGAGGUGAGGCAGGGAGAGAAUGUAUGUCAUUCCAUAAAGCAAAACAUGAACAUGGGGGGCCCUCCCUCUGCCAACGUGUUGAAAAGACCAACGUCAAAUAAAUAAAAAAGCCUGCACU
rnacentral:lncRNA from 1 species